UACGUAGGUGGCAAGCGUUAUCCGGAUUUAUUGGGCGUAAAGAGAACGCAGGCGGUCUUUUAAGUCUGAUGUGAAAGCCUUCGGCUUAACCGGAGUAGUGCAUUGGAAACUGGGAGACUUGAGUGCAGAAGAGGUGAGUGGAACUCCAUGUGUAGCGGUGAAAUGCGUAGAUAUAUGGAAGAACACCAGUGGCGAAAGCGGCUCUCUGGUCUGUAACUGACGCUGAGGUUCGAAAGCGUGGGUAGCAAACAGG
rnacentral:rRNA from 1 species